rnacentral:rRNA from 1 species
AUACGGAGGGUGCAAGCGUUAUUCGGAAUCACUGGGCGUAAAGGACGCGUAGGCGGGUUGGCAAGUCAGAUGUGAAAUCCUACAGCUUAACUGUAGAACUGCAUUUGAAACUGCUAACCUAGAGUAUGGGAGGGGGAGAUGGAAUUAGUGGUGUAGGGGUAAAAUCCGUAGAUAUCACUAGGAAUACCGAAAGCGAAGGCGAUCUCCUGGAACAUAACUGACGCUAAGGCGUGAAAGCGUGGGGAGCAAACAGGAUUAGAUACCCCAAUAGUCC